rnacentral:rRNA from 1 species
UACGGGGGGUGCGAGCGUUGUCCGGAAUCACUGGGCGUAAAGGGCGCGUAGGUGGCCUGAUAAGGGUGUGGUGAAAGUCCGGGGCUCAACCCCGGAUCGGCCGUGCCGACUGUUAGGCUAGAGUACUGUAGGGGCAGGCGGAAUUCCGGGUGUAGCGGUGGAAUGCGUAGAGAUCCGGAAGAACACCAGUGGCGAAGGCGGCCCGCUGGGCAGUGGCUGACGCUGAGGCGCGACAGCGUGGGGAGCAAACAGG